CUACGGGGUGCUGCAGUAGGGAAUCUUAGACAAUGGGGGAAACCCUGAUCUAGCCAUGCCGCGUGAGUGAUGAAGGCCUUAGGGUUGUAAAGCUCUUUCGCUGGGGAAGAUAAUGACGGUACCCAGUAAAGAAACCCCGGCUAACUCCGUGCCAGCAGCCGCGGUAAUACGGAGGGGGUUAGCGUUGUACGGAAUUACUGGGCGUAAAGCGCGCGUAGGCGGGCUAUUAAGUCAGGGGUGAAAUCCCGGGGCUCAACCCCGGAACUGCCUUUGAUACUGGUAGUCUUGAGUUCGAGAGAGGUGAGUGGAAUUCCGAGUGUAGAGGUGAAAUUCGUAGAUAUUCGGAGGAACAUCAGUGGCGAAGGCGACUCACUGGCUCGAUACUGACGCUGAGGUGCGAAAGUGUGGGGAGCAAACAGGAUUAGAUACCCCCGUAGUC
rnacentral:rRNA from 1 species